rnacentral:rRNA from 1 species
UACGAAGGGAGCUAGCGUUGUUCGGAUUUAUUGGGCGUAAAGAGCUCGUAGGCGGUCUGUUGCGUCGGCUGUGAAAACCCGGGGCUCAACUCCGGGCCUGCAGCCGAUACGGGCAGACUAGAGUUCGGCAGGGGAGACUGGAAUUCCUGGUGUAGCGGUGAAAUGCGCAGAUAUCAGGAGGAACACCGGUGGCGAAGGCGGGUCUCUGGGCCGAUACUGACGCUGAGGAGCGAAAGCGUGGGGAGCGAACAGG